rnacentral:lncRNA from 10 species
GAGAGGCGGGGUUUCACCAUGUUGGUCAGGGUGGUCUUGAUCUCUUGACCUUGUGAUCCGCCCGCCUUGGCCUCCCAAAGUGUUGGGAUUACAGGCGUGAGACACAGUGCCCAGCCUAGAAUAUUUCAUAAAUGUAGCAAAUUGGCUUUAGGGAACUUUUUCUGCUUCCAGCAUUCAGCAGCUAUUUGAAGGGUUUUGGAAGCAAAGGAAUGGAGGGAGACAGGACGGCACCCUGAGGGAGACGCAGGGCUGAACGGAGCUGUUCGGGGAUAGCUGUGGCUUGAGUGGGUCUGUUGGCUGAAAGGAGGGAUUCGUUGAAGAAGGAGCAAUGGACGAGGUGAGAGAGAGGAUACUGGAUGGAACCAGGUUUCAGAGGAGGCUGAUGGGAGAAUGUGAGGAGCACCAAAGCGAGCCUUAGGAAAAAGAAGUUCAGACAGACAGACACUUCGGUAAACCACAGCUCCCAGUAUUCACCACUGUGUGUAGUCUCCUCCCACACUGACUCUGGGCUUGGUCAGCUGACAAGCUUUGGCCAAUAGGGCUCUAGCAAGAAGAUGCCAGCAGAGGCUUGAAAAGUGCCUACCCCUGGCCUGGGAUGCUUCCUCCUGGGAUGCUCCCACUUGGAACCCAACUAUUGUGCUGCAGAAGUUUAACUUAACUGUGUAAGGAGGCCAAGAGGAGGCCCUGGCUGCCAGCCAGCAUCAACUUCCAGUGACGUGAGUGUGCCAUUCUGGAACUGGAUCCUGCAGCCUCGGUGGAGCAGCCUCAGCUGAUGCCAUGUGGAACAGAGAUGAACUGCCGCUGCCGAGCUCUGCCCACGUUGCAGAAUCAUGAGCAAAUAUGUUGUGGAUUGGCUGUAACUCUGCUCUGGGAUCCAGGCUGAAGGAGCAGGCUCUAUCUGGAACAUUACUAGUCUCCAGGCAGAAGAAAAAGAGACAAUGGAAUGGAUGAUUGAAUGGAUGAAUGAACUCCACAGGAAGAUGAGGAAAGCCUUUAUGGAUGGAGUGAGCUUGCAGCAGAGUCUCAAAGGGCCUACCUGGAAUGCCAUGCUCCCUCACCGCCAAUGCUGCCCUACCAAAUUCAGCCCAUAGACCUUCAAAAACCAAUUCAAAUCUCCAAGAAUCCAAGUCAGAAGAAAUUGCUGCCUCCUCUGAAUAAUUAUUGCUGACACUGAUUGCACUCUGUGCUUAUUGCUCAGUCCUUUGAGUUAUCUCGUCAAUAUUUCCCAUUUGUCCUAUAUCCAUCCCCACCUAGGAAUGAAUGGGACUUCAUGAUUCUGUCUUUCUAGUAUUAGAUGUCUUGCUCAGUAAAAAAUGUUUACUGUCUUGUAAAUUAAUUUAAAUAUAUGGUAAAAUAAUAUAGGGGUCUCUGGAAAGAUGGAAAUUGUUUGUUAUUGUUUUUGAGACGGAGUCUCACUCUGUUGCCCAGGCUGCAGUGCAAUGGUGUAAUCUCAGUGCAAUCUUGGCUCACUGCAACCUCCGCCUACCAGGUUCAAGCGAUUCUCCUGCCUCAACCUCCCAGGUAGCUGGAAUUACAGGCGCCUGCCACCACGCUGGGCUAAUUUUUGUAUUUUAAGUAGAGACGGAGUUUCACCAUGUUGGCCAGGCUGGUCUCGAGCUCCUGACCUCAAGUGAUCCACCCGCCUGGGCCUCCCAAACUGCUGGGAUUACAGGUGUGAGCCACUGUGCCCGGCCUGUUUUUGUUUUUUUGUGGGUUUUUUGUAGUUGUUGUUAUUUUUUUACACUGCAUCUCGCCUUCUCCGGAAAUAGUUUUAAAAUAGCUCAAUAACAUAAAAUUAUGUAGGAAAGGGUGUAUGAUGAGCUUAUUUAAUGCACAAGUUUUAUCGACUGUUUUGCAAUUAAUAGUAUGAAAAACUCAAUUUUUAUUUCUGUAAUUAAGAAUGACAUCAGGAAGAGGAAUGCAUGGUGACUAAGAAGAAGUCAUCAUUAGCCAGUCACCUGUCAGAUAUUCUGUAUGUAUCUGAUUAUAAGAUUAGAACACUUUUUCAUCUGUGUGUGUGCGCGCGUGCACGUGCGUGUAUGUGUGUUUGUGUGUUUCAUGAGCAUUUUUAGUACUGGGUCCUAUAUAUGUAAGUAUAAAUAUUACCAUAAAAUUUAUCAACCAAAUUGGGACUAUUUGAGAGUCACCUGGUGGGAGGGAGGGCACUAUUAAAAUUUUGCCAGGACAACAUACAUAAGCCAGGAGUGUUCAUCUUAUGAUUUUACUAUAGACAACUCACAUAUAGCUUAAGAAAGCAGCUCAAAUCACAGACAAGAUUAUUUUUCAUGAUCGUUUUCACUGGCCACCAGAAAGCCUUUUCUAAUAACAAAAGGACCACAUUUUUGAAUUUCAUCAUAGUUUGUCCUCAUGGAACUAUUGCAUGCUGGGACUUAAAGCCUCUAAACAAACUUCAUCUCCAUUACCAAUAAGAAGCCAGACAGUCGACCUGGUAACAGGACAUUCUGAACCUCCUUCCUAGACUGCAUGCAGACUGCACCGGCUGUGACAAUAAAGCCACAAUAUUGGAUCCCUCAGACUGCACCAUGUCAUGACUGCAGGAAUACUUUAUGAACCUCCAGGCUGCAGCUUUUACUAUUAUUCUCUUAGCCUCAUCCUUUCCAUUUCCCUCACAGUGAUUACACUGAUGAGGUCUAGUCUCAAAAACCUUAACUCGGUCCUCAAACCGUUUUUGGUAACCAUAUUCGAAAGGAAAAGUUUCUCGCACCAGGUGGUGAGAUUUUGCUAGUGUAAAAAAAAAAAAAAAAAAAAUCCUGCAUGUGUUGGAGAGUGUGUAUAUAGGAACUGUCUGUACUUUCCACUUAAUUUUGUUAUAAACCUAAAACUAUUUAUUUAUUUAGAGACAGAGUCUCCCUCUGUUGCCCAGGCUGGAGUGCAGUGGUACGAUCUUGGUUCACUGCAUCCGCCGCCUCCUAGGUUCAAGCGAUUCUCCUGCCUCAGCCUCCCAAGUAGCUGGGAUUACAGGCACACGUCACCACACCCAGCUAAUUUUUGUAUUUUUAGUAGAGACGGUGUUUCGCCAAUUGACCAGACUGGUCUCAAACUCCUGGCUUCAAGUGAUCCGCCCACCUCAGCCUCCCAAAGUGUUGGGAUUACAGGCAUGAGCCACGGCGCCUGGCCCUAAAACUGCUUUAAAAAAU